rnacentral:rRNA from 1 species
GAUGAACGCUGACAGAAUGCUUAACACAUGCAAGUCAACUGUGGCGGACGGGUGAGUAACGCGUAAAGAACUUGCCUCACAGUUAGGGACAACAUUUGGAAACGAAUGCUAAUACCUGAAACUGUGAGAGAGCUUUGCGUCCCAUUAGCUAGUUGGAGAGGUAACGGCUCACCAAGGCGAUGAUGGGUAGCCGGCCUGGGAGGGUGAUCGGCCACAAGGGGACGUGGACACGGCCAUUAGUCCUACGGGAGGCAGCAGUGGGGAAUAUAGGGCAAAAGACCAAAGUCUGAUCCAGCAAUUCGGUGUGCACGAUGAAGUUUUCGGAAUGUAAAGUGCUUUCAGUUGGGGAGCGGUACCAACAGAAGAAGUGACGGCUAAAUACGUGCCAGCAGCCGCGGUAAUAC